rnacentral:lncRNA from 1 species
AAAAUUUUAGGCCCAAAACCCUAACCCAAAUGCCAAACCCAAAACAGGCCCAACCCUAAAUCUAACCCUAGCAGCCCACUAAACCCAAAACAUUUCAAAAAAAAUGAAACCCUAGCCUACUGCCUAACCCUAACUGCCUCUUCUGACCCCUCUGCUCCUGCCGCCGUCGUCACAUCAUUAGCGCAAAUGGUGCACCUGCCCUCUACCACCGCCGCACCUGCUCCAACUGCAAGAGAAAGAAGAACACGCAAGCAGAAAUAGAAAAAAG